rnacentral:rRNA from 1 species
ACAGGUGGUGCGAUGGUUGUCGUCAGCUCGUGUCGUGAGAUGUUGGGUUAAGUCCCGCAACGAGCGCAACCCCUAUCCUCAGUUGCCAUCAUUAAGUUGGGCACUCUGUGGAGACUGCCGGUGUCAAACCGGAGGAAGGUGGGGAUGACGUCAAGUCCUCAUGGUCCUUAUGACCAGGGCUACACACGUGCUACAAUGGCCGGUACAAAGAGUUGCGAUACCGCGAGGUGGAGCUAAUCUCAUAAAGCCGGUCUCAGUUCGGAUUGGAGUCUGCAACUCGACUCCAUGAAGUUGGAAUCGCUAGUAAUCGCGGAUCAGCAUGCCGCGGUCGAAUACGUUCCCGGGCCUU